rfam:Canis lupus familiaris chromosome 9, whole genome shotgun sequence.
ACCUGGCUGGCUUAGUCGGUGGAGCACAUGACUCUUGAUCUUGGGGUUGUGAGUUCAAGCCCCACACUGGGUG